UACGGAGGGUGCAAACGUUGCUCGGAAUCAUUGGGCGUAAAGCGCACGUAGGCGGUCCGGUAAGUCGGAUGUGAAAGCCCUCGGCUCAACCGAGGAAGUGCAUUCGAAACUGUCGGACUAGAGUACGGGAGGGGGAUGCGGAAUUCCCGGUGUAGAGGUGAAAUUCGUAGAUAUCGGGAGGAACACCAGAGGCGAAGGCGGCAUCCUGGACCGAUACUGACGAUGAGGUGCGAAAGAGUGGGGAGCAAACAGG
rnacentral:rRNA from 1 species